rnacentral:lncRNA from 1 species
GAAUGGUUUUACCAGUCUGCAAUCCCACCAACAAUGGAGGAGUGUUCCUCUUUCUCCACAUCCUCGCCAGCAUCUGCUGUCACCUGAAUUUUUGAUCUUAGCCAUUCUCACUGGUGUGAGGUGAAAUCUCAGGGUUGUUUUGAUUUGCAUUUCCCUUAUGACUAAACAUGUUGAACAUUUCUUUAGGUGUUUCUCAGCCAUUCGGCAUUCCUCAGCUGUGAAUUCUUUGUUUAGCUCUGAACCCCAUUUUUUAAUAGGGUUAUUUGUUUCCCUGCGGUCUAACUUCUUGAGUUCUUUGUAUAUUUUGGAUAUAAGGCCUCUAUCUGUUAUAGGAUUGGUAAAGAUCUUUUCCCAAUCUGUUGGUUGCCGUUUUGUCCUAACCACAGUGUCCUUUGCCUUACAGAAGCUUUGUAGUUUUAUGAGAUCCCAUUUGUCGAUUCUUGAUCUUAGAGCAUAA